rnacentral:lncRNA from 1 species
GAAGAAAUUAAAAAAAUUGUCCAACUAGCCCCACCCUCCCCUAAUGAUUUUCGGUAGAUAAUUGAACAUUAUUGUUUCUAUCUUUUUCUAUUUCAACUAAGAAAACGAUAUUUAAUUUAAUCAAAUUAAUAUUAGUAUAAAUUUAUUCAAAUUAUAACUAUAAACUUCAAAAAUUUUAUCAAUCGGUGGUGUUUGAUUACAGAAUUUCAGCACGUAAAAUCAAAUGAUACCAUUUCUUAAAAGAUUUUCCAAAAAUUUUUCUAUCACCCAACAGACCUUUAUAGUAUUUGUCGCUAUGUUUGCAACUUAUAUACCAUCGAAAGUAGCUCAGUGGUAAUGCAUCGGAUUACGAUUCAAAAGGUCUGGUGUUCGAAUACCUUGGUUUACGGCAUUUUUUUUUCAUUUCUGAACCCCAUUUAUGGAUAUACCUUAAUUAGCACAACAAAUUUUGAUAUGAUAGAAGUCAUUUGCUGAAUUUUGACUAAAGAUUAUAUAAUUGCCCUAUAGAAAAAAAAGUGUGCGAAUGAAUUUUAAGUAGGCUAGACCCUUUAUUGAGCCUACUUAACUACUUACAACAUUCUUACAUGAAAAAGGUUUUUUUAGUAGGAAAUCUCGUGUAAGUAUGGGCGGAAUUUAAGUAUCCAAAGCCAUGUAAGAGAUCCUGGCCCCUCUUAAGUAGGAAACAAUAAGUAGGGAGCCGCUGCUGUGUAAAGUUAAAAAAAAAGGGGGGACGUAGUGCCAUAAGAGGCAAUGUAAAAAGGGACGAAAAACGACAAAGUGCACAAUAAUUUGGGUGGGUACUGUAUGCUGUUUAACUUAUUUCAGAGUAGAGAACGUCUAACGGGAACAGACAAGUCCUUGUGGCAACAAUCCAUGAAUUUUCAAAGUAACCGACGGGGUGGUGGCAAAUUGAAAAACUUCGACAAAAAAUUAAGACUGAUGAAGUAUUCAAGAAAAAUGCCGAAGCAGUGGCAAAAGAAAAGGCUGAAAAAGCAUCAAAGAAAAAGGUUAAAGCAGGAAAAAAUAAUUGCCAGCAUGCGAAAAAGACGCUAACCUAUCCAGAAGAAGUCGAACUAUCUUCUUUCUCAUCACAGCCUAAUGACGGAGAUGAUUGUGAUACACAGAAUGAUAUGUUCUUAGAGUAAUUAGAUGAAAGUGAUGACGAAGACUCAACGGAUGGUUCAAACGUCGCUUAUCGUUAGAACAUUGAUAACGACGAAGAUAGUUUAUUUCAUAAACCGUCUUCUGGUCUUUCUUCAAGCAACGCCCUUACUUUAUCUGUUAUUCCUAUACCUGAGGCAAAUACGACAAAAGAAUUUCACUUUGAUUCGUUGUUCCAUUCAUCAGAAAACAACUCAACACCGUCCUAUCUUCAUGUUCGAUAUGAAGAUCCGGAUCGCUGAUCUUGAAAAUGAAAAUUGAUUUCUUUACCACAUGGUGGAUAAAAUAGAUGAGGAAAUCAAAUCCCUCGAAACUGAAAUUCUUCAACUAAAGAGCAGAAAUCCCGAUAACUUGGUUGAAAAUAAAUAAGGAGUUACUGCUUCCGGUAGUUAAUGGGACGACAACUAGAGGUUUCACAAACGAAAACAACUGAUCGACUGUCGUUAACAGUCGACCAAAACUUGGGCCAUUCUCGCUGCAGUCAACACUCUGCCAUCGGAAGCUGCGAUAACAUAGCCGAAGACGAUACUGCAAAUUAGAUGCUCCUAAAUUUAAGAUCCCUCCACCUAAGUGAAUAGUAAUUGCUAAGUGGUUUUAAAUUUUUUACUUAGUUUCAACAUUCGAAUUACGUUAUAUUGUAAUUUUAUCUCGUAUGGAUAGCGUUUUCUAUUAAAAAUUUUUUGAAAUUGUCGAUCAAAGUUUCGACCGCAUUUUUGUAACCCAUGUCAAUCUUCCAGACUCAGGAAGUGUUACCAAUUAAAACAAACGGUAGCAUAAAUUAAAAUUUAUUGUAUUUUAUUUACGGGGGAACAGGGAGGAGAGGA